GCCUAAUACAUGCAAGUCGAACGUCAUUGUGGUUGAAAUGAUAUGAAGAACUUGUUCAGAUUUGAUUUUCAACAUUGCAAUGAGUGGCGAACGGGUGAGUAACACGUGGAAACCUACCUCUUAGCAGGGGAUAACAUUUGGAAACAAAUGCUAAUACCGUAUAAUAAUUAAAACCGCAUGGUUUUAGUUUAAAGAUGGUCUUGCUAUCACUAAGAGAUGGUCCCGCGGUGUAUUAGUUAGUUGGUGAGGUAAUGGCUCGCCAAGACAAUGAUACAUAGCCGAGUUGAGAGACUGACCGGCCACAAUGGGACUGAGACACGGCCCAUACUCCUACGGGAGGCAGCAGUAGGGAAUCUUCCACAAUGGACGAAAGUCUGAUGGAGCAACGCCGCGUGUGUGAUGAAGGGUUUCGGCUCGUAAAACACUGUUGUAAGAGAAGAAUGACAUUGAGAGUAACUGUUCAAUGUGUGACGGUAUCUUACCAGAAAGGAACGGCUAAAUACGUG
rnacentral:rRNA from 1 species